GACCUCUACAAAUACUCACUCCUGCCACUUCCACUCUGCCAGAUUGUAAUCUCUGCUCAUUACCGCUCUGUCUCUGGCUCCUGUCUCCUGUUCCACAUCUCACCACCCAACUACCUUGCUCUGGAUUUUACUCGCCACCACUACCUUGGAUACCCCUCAGGACCUGUUUUCCCAGUUCUACACAGCUAACUCUAACCUCAGUCUCCACAUCUGUUUUUUCUGCAACUCAUCCGAGCUUUCCCGGAUCUGUACUCCAUAUCUCUCUGUGUAACAAUAAAUAUUUUGGUUAAUUCA